rnacentral:rRNA from 1 species
CUGACCAGCCAUGCCGCGUGCAGGAAGACGGCCCUAUGGGUUGUAAACUGCUUUUGUACCGGAAUAAACCCUUUUACGAGUAGAAGGCUGAAUGUACGGUAAGAAUAAGGAUCGGCUAACUCCGUGCCAGCAGCCGCGGUAAUACGGAGGAUCCAAGCGUUAUCCGGAUUUAUUGGGUUUAAAGGGUGCGUAGGCGGCCAAUUAAGUCAGGGGUGAAAGACGGUAGCUUAACUAUCGCAGUGCCUUUGAUACUGAUUGGCUUGAAUCCACUUGAGGUAGGCGGAAUGUGACAAGUAGCGGUGAAAUGCAUAGAUAUGUCACAGAACACCAAUUGCGAAGGCAGCUUACUAAAGUGGCAUUGACGCUGAGGCACGAAAGCGUGGGGAUCAAACAGGAUUAGAUACCCUGGUAGUCCACGCCCUAAACGAUGAACACUCGAUGUUGGCGAUAUACGGUCAGCGUCUAAGCGAAAGCGUUAAGUGUUCCACCUGGGGAGUACGCCCGCAAGGGUGAAACUCAAAGGAAUUGACGGGGGCCCGCACAAGCGGAGGAGCAUGUGGUUUAAUUCGAUGAUACGCGAGGAACCUUACCCGGGCUUGAAAGUUAGUGAAUGUGACAGAGACGUCACAGUCC